rnacentral:tRNA from 1 species
UGUUAGUAUAGUUUAAUAAAAACAUUAGGAUGUGGCCCUAAAAAUAGAAGUUCAACCCUUCUUGCAAACC